rnacentral:rRNA from 1 species
AUUGAACGCUGGCGGCAGGCCUAACACAUGCAAGUCGAACGGUAACAGGAAGAAGCUUGCUUCUUUGCUGACGAGUGGCGGACGGGUGAGUAAUGUCUGGGAAACUGCCUGAUGGAGGGGGAUAACUACUGGAAACGGUAGCUAAUACCGCAUAACGUCGCAAGACCAAAGAGGGGGACCUUCGGGCCUCUUGCCAUCGGAUGUGCCCAGAUGGGAUUAGCUAGUAGGUGGGGUAACGGCUCACCUAGGCGACGAUCCCUAGCUGGUCUGAGAGGAUGACCAGCCACACUGGAACUGAGACACGGUCCAGACUCCGACGGGAGGCAGCAGUGGGGAAUAUUGCACAAUGGGCGCAAGCCUGAUGCAGCCAUGCCGCGUGUAUGAAGAAGGCCUUCGGGUUGUAAAGUACUUUCAGCGGGGAGGAAGGGAGUAAAGUUAAUACCUGUGCUCAUUGACGUUACCCGCAGAAGAAGCACCGGCGAACUCCGU